rnacentral:pre_miRNA from 9 species
UCUCGAUAGCGUCAAAGUUAUCUCAAAUGUGUAUCGAGUUGGAACGUUUGCCUACGUUUGCCGCUAGGGGCGCUGCUCCAACUCCAUACAAAUUUGAGUUCACUUUUACGUUAUCGA